rnacentral:rRNA from 1 species
GACGAACGCUGGCGGCGUGCUUAACACAUGCAAGUCGAACGGUAAGGCCCUGCUUUUUUGGGGUGCUCGAGUGGCGAACGAGUGAGUAACACGUGCGUAACCUGCCCUUGACUUUGGGAUAACUUCAGGCAACUGGGGCUAAUACAGGCUAGGAGCUCCUGCUGCGUGGUGGGGGGUGGAUAGUUUCGGCGGUGGGGGAUGGGCUCGCUGCUUGUCGGUUUGUUGGUGGGGUAGUGGCUUGCCAGGGCUUUGACGGGUUACCGGCCUGAGAGGGGGACCGGCCACAUGGGGACUGAGAUACGGCACAGAGUCCUGCGGGAGGCAGCAGUGGGGAAGAUUGCACGAUGGGGGGAAGCCGGAUGCAGCAAGGCCGCGUGCGGGAUGACGGCCUUCUGGGUGAAAAACGCUGUCGCCUGUGAUGAAGCGUGAUUGACGGUAAUUGGUAAAGAAGCACCGGCUAACUACGUG